UGUUUAUUUAUUACAUGUAAAUGAGAAAAGAUAUGGCUCGAAUUUCCUUGUUUGUUUAUGCUUUGAUCAUCUUUUUUUCUUUAUUUUUUGUUUUAACCAAUGGUGAACUUGAAAUUCGAUGUGUCAGUGACGCUGAUUGUCCUUUGUUUCCUCUCCCUCUACAUAAUAGGUGCAUUGACGAUGUUUGUCAUUUGUUUACCUCAUAAUAUUAUUUGUAUAUCAUAAUAUUUUUAUUUUCAUAAUUUACCUUAAAGUUUGAGAUUUAUGUUUUUCUUGUAUCAAAAACAACAAUGUCCUUGCUUGAUUAUAGCUACUAAUAAAUAAAGAUAAUAUAUGGUUAUGUAAAUUAUCUAUUUAUUUUAGUUCUA